ACUUGAUGCGCGCUUAACAUGCAGUCGAACGGUAACAGGGAGCUUGCUCCGCUGACGAGUGGCGAACGGGUGAGUAAUACAUCGGAACGUGCCCAGUAAUGGGGGAUAGCUCGGCGAAAGCCGGAUUAAUACCGCAUACGCCCUGAGGGGGAAAGUGGGGGACCGCAAGGCCUCACGUUAUUGGAGCGGCCGAUGGCUGAUUAGCUAGUUGGUAGGGUAAAGGCCUACCAAGGCGACGAUCAGUAGCUGGUCUGAGAGGACGAUCAGCCACACUGGGACUGAGACACGGCCCAGACUCCUACGGGAGGCAGCAGUGGGGAAUUUUGGACAAUGGGGGAAACCCUGAUCCAGCAAUGCCGCGUGUGCGAAGAAGGCCUUCGGGUUGUAAAGCACUUUUGUCAGGGAAGAAAUCCUUUGGGCUAAUACCCUAGGGGGAUGACGGUACCUGAAGAAUAAGCACCGGCUAACUACGUGCCAGCAGCCGCGGUAAUACGUAGGGUGCAAGCGUUAAUCGGAAUUACUGGGCGUAAAGCGUGCGCAGGCGGUUGUGUAAGACAGGUGUGAAAUCCCCGGGCUUAACCUGGGAAUUGCAUUUGUGACUGCACGACUA
rnacentral:rRNA from 1 species